rnacentral:lncRNA from 1 species
AAGUUACAUUGGUUCCUGUGAGAAGACACCCCUAGGGCCCUCGGUGAGCCGAAAAAAAUAUCGAAAACCGAAACUUACUGCGACGGAGCUCUCCAGUGCAGCGGCUCCUCCAGCUCGAGUCGUGAUUUGGUGUUUUGCUCCGGUCAACCUGUAGAGGAAGGAACGGUGGUCACAAUGGUGUAAAAAUUACAUCGAACGGGAAUUGGGAAGGGCCUCAUCGGAGGCAAAAACUAAUGAAACCCGCGGCGGUGCCGCUGGGCUUUGGCGGCGUUUUUUGGCAAAUUGGCAAGUGUUUUGGCUCCGAUUUGGCCACAGGUGAGUGUUUAGAAU